AAAUGGUUAUGAUCUUUCUGAAACCCACUAUGAGGCCUCGGUCCUACAAGGAAAAAUUAAAGCAGAGAAUGACCGCUUAUUGAACCUAAACUUGACUUUGUCAACUAUCCAUGUUGACACAAAGCUACUCUCCCGUGGAAUGUAUGAAACGUACCAUUUUGGUGAAAGAAUAAACGAAAAGGCUAUAUCCAUUUCUGGUAAAAUGAGUUGUGGAACAUUUGGAGGUUUAUCAGUAUUUGGGUGUGCGGGAUUGCAGUGACUACGAUUGCAGAUGCCCUUUGCAAUAUGCACUCUAUGAAGUUGAUGAUAACGGUAACAUGAGCCAGAUAGAGACGGAUGUAAAAAUUGCUUUCAUCUUCAGUACAGAAGGGUAUGAAGGCACUGGACUAAUAAGCAG